UGACCUCGGAUCAGGUAGGGAUACCCGCUGAACUUAAGCAUAUCAAUAAGCGGAGGAAAAGAAACCAACAGGGAUUGCCUCAGUAACGGCGAGUGAAGCGGCAACAGCUCAAAUUUGAAAUCUGGCUCUUUUAGGGUCCGAGUUGUAAUUUGUAGAAGAUGCUUUGGGAAUGGUUCCGGUCUAAGUUCCUUGGAACAGGACGUCAUAGAGGGUGAGAAUCCCGUAUGCGACUGGUCGCCUGCCCCGUGUAAAGCUCUUUCGACGAGUCGAGUUGUUUGGGAAUGCAGCUCAAAAUGGGUGGUAUAUUUCAUCUAAAGCUAAAUAUUGGCCAGAGACCGAUAGCGCACAAGUAGAGUGAUCGAAAGAUGAAAAGCACUUUGGAAAGAGAGUUAAACAGUACGUGAAAUUGUUGAAAGGGAAGCGCUUGCAACCAGACUUGCACGUAGCUAAUCAUCUGGUGUUCUCACCGGUGCACUUGGCUAUGUUCAGGCCAGCAUCGGUUCAGGUGGUGGGAUAAAGGCCUUGGGAAUGUAGCUUCUUUCGGGGAGUGUUAUAGCCCUCGGUGCAAUGCCGCCUACCUGGACCGAGGACCGCGCUUCGGCUAGGAUGCUGGCGUAAUGGUUGUAAGCGACCCGUCUUGAAACACGGACCAAGGAGUCUAACAUCUAUGCGAGUGUUUGGGUGUCAAACCCAUACGCGUAAUGAAAGUGAACGGAGGUGAGAACCCUUAAGGGUGCAUCAUCGACCGAUCCUGAUGUCUUCGGAUGGAUUUGAGUAAGAGCAUAGCUGUUGGGACCCGAAAGAUGGUGAACUAUGCCUGAAUAGGGUGAAGCCAGAGGAAACUCUGGUGGAGGCUCGCAGCGGUUCUGACGUGCAAAUCGAUCGUCAAAUUUGGGUAUAGGGGCGAAAGACUAAUCGAACCAUCAGACUUGCUACUAGGUGGUUGAGAGACGCGCGAAAAGCGUGGAUCUAGCUCUGUGCAGUGAGCAACAUUAUCAAAUUGCGGGGACCUCCUGUUAACAUCCAAUGCUACCGCCGCUCCGUCGAAAGUCGAGCUGGCACCGGGUUAGUGACCCUGGGUAUGGUAAUAACGCAUUGGAUAUACGGAAAAUCCGCAGCAAACUCCCUACGGGUGCGUCCUACGGGGUCUGUCCACAGACUAAAUGAUAAUGGGUACCGUCAAAUACGGUGCUUAAGAUAUAGUCGAUCCCCCGGGAGACCGGGCCUUGGGAUCCCCAAGGGAGACACUCGUGUCUCGGGGAAGCACCUCUUACGAGGCCGCUUCAAAUGCUAGUAGCUGGUUCCUGCGGAAGUUUCCCUCAGGAUAGCAGUGUUGAAUUCAGUUUUAUGAGGUAAAGCGAAUGAUUAGAGGCCUUGGGGUUGAAACAACCUUAACCUAUUCUCAAACUUUAAAUAUGUAAGAAGUCCUUGUUACUUAAUUGAACGUGGACAUUCGAAUGUACCAACACUAGUGGGCCAUUUUUGGUAAGCAGAACUGGCGAUGCGGGAUGAACCGAACGGGAAGUUAAGGUGCCGGAAUGUACGCUCAUCAGACACCACAAAAGGUGUUAGUUCAUCUAGACAGCAGGACGGUGGCCAUGGAAGUCGGAAUCCGCUAAGGAAUGUGUAACAACUCACCUGCCGAAUGAACUAGCCCUGAAAAUGGAUGGCGCUUAAGCGUACUACCCAUACUUCCCCGCCAGGGUAGAAACGAUGCCCUGGCGAGUAGGCAGGCGUGGAGGUCAGUGACGAAGCCUUGGGGGUGACCCCGGGUAGAACGGCUGUAGUCACUA
rnacentral:rRNA from 1 species